AUUGAACGCUGGCGGCAUGCCUUACACAUGCAAGUCGAACGGCAGCACGGGAGCAAUCCUGGUGGCGAGUGGCGAACGGGUGAGUAAUACAUCGGAACGUGCCCAGUAGUGGGGGAUAACCCGGCGAAAGCCGGACUAAUACCGCAUACGACCUACGGGUGAAAGCGGGGGAUCGCAAGACCUCGCGCUAUCGGAGCGGCCGAUGUCAGAUUAGCUAGUUGGUGGGGUAAAGGCCUACCAAGGCGACGAUCUGUAGCUGGUCUGAGAGGACGACCAGCCACACUGGGACUGAGACACGGCCCAGACUCCUACGGGAGGCAGCAGUGGGGAAUUUUGGACAAUGGGCGCAAGCCUGAUCCAGCCAUGCCGCGUGCGGGAAGAAGGCCUUCGGGUUGUAAACCGCUUUUGUCAGGGAAGAAACGCUCCGGGCUGAUACCACGGAGUAAUGACGGUACCUGAAGAAUAAGCACCGGCUAACUACGUG
rnacentral:rRNA from 1 species